rnacentral:rRNA from 1 species
UGGGGAAUUUUGGACAAUGGGCGCAAGCCUGAUCCAGCCAUGCCGCGUGAGUGAAGAAGGCCUUCGGGUUGUAAAGCUCUUUCGGACGGGAAGAAAUGGCGGGCUCUAACAUAGCCUGUCGAUGACGGUACCGUAAGAAGAAGCACCGACUAACUACGUGCCAGCAGCCGCGGUAAUACGUAGGGUGCGAGCGUUAAUCGGAAUUACUGGGCGUAAAGCGUGCGGAGGUGGUUGUUUAAGUCUGAUGUGAAAGCCCUGGGCUCAACCUGGGAAUGGCAUUCGAAACUGGGCAGCUAGAGUGCGGUAGAGGGUAGUGGAAUUCCCGGUGUAGCAGUGAAAUGCGUAGAGAUCGGGAGGAACAUCUGUGGCGAAGGCGACUGCCUGGACCAGCACUGACACUGAGGCACGAAAGCGUGGGGAGCAAACA